rnacentral:rRNA from 1 species
AUUGAACGCUGGCGGCAUGCCUUACACAUGCAAGUCGAACGGCAGCAUGAUCUUGCUUGCUAGAUUGAUGGCGAGUGGCGAACGGGUGAGUAAUACAUCGGAACGUGCCCUGUAGUGGGGGAUAACUAGUCGAAAGAUUAGCUAAUACCGCAUACGACCUGAGGGUGAAAGUGGGGGACCGCAAGGCCUCAUGCUAUAGGAGCGGCCGAUGUCUGAUUAGCUAGUUGGUGAGGUAAAGGCUCACCAAGGCGACGAUCAGUAGCUGGUCUGAGAGGACGAUCAGCCACACUGGGACUGAGACACGGCCCAGACUCCUACGGGAGGCAGCAGUGGGGAAUUUUGGACAAUGGGCGAAAGCCUGAUCCAGCAAUGCCGCGUGUGUGAAGAAGGCCUUCGGGUUGUAAAGCACUUAUGUCCGGAAAGAAAUGGCUCUGGUUAAUACCUGGGGUCGAUGACGGUACCGGAAGAAUAAGGACCGGCUAACUACGUG